ACAGAUUUGGUCCUAGUCCUUAAUUUGGCUAUCUCUAGAACGAUACAUGCAAGUCCAUAAACAAACCAGUGAGUAAAAAAAUUACCUCCCUAUAAAGUAAAAGGUAAAUACUAUUAGUAUCAGACACCCUACUGAGUCCAAUACACUUAGACAACCACAACUGCAGUACUCAACAUUAUACAAUAAGCAAAAGCUUGAUAUAGUCAUAGAUAAAUUGGCCGGUAAAUUAUGUGCCAGCUACCGCGGUUAUACAUAAGACCACAGUCAAAACUCUCACGGAAAAAAGGUGGUAAACCAUAUUCAAUUAGGAUAAACCCUAACUCUAGCAGUAACAAGCUUUACAGAACAGUAACAACAAAAGUAAAAACAGUCCUAAUAAAAUCCCACAACCACCAAAGCUCAACAAUAAACUGGGAUUAGAUACCCCACUAUAUGAGCCGUAAAAACCCUCCCACCAGAGAACUACAAAUUAACAUNNNNNNNNNNNNNNNNNNNNNNNNUUUUUAGAUCUUCCUGGAGGAGUUUGCCACCUAACCGAUAACCCACGAAAAACCUCUCCAGCUUUUGAAAAACCAGCAUGUAUACCAUCGUCGUCAGUCUACCUCUUAAGAGACGUAUACUCAAUGAGCCCAACUCUUCACGUCAGAUCGAGGUGCAGCUAAUAAACUGGGGGUUGGUGAACUACAAUAUUUAUACCCUAAACCACCCAAAAACCAAUUAUGAACAGUACUAUGAAAUUAACACUCAAAACAGGAUUCAGCAGUAAUACCCAAAAGAAAAUGGGUAUGAAACAUAUAGCUCUAAAAUGCGCNNNNNNNNNNNNNNNNNNNNCUCGUCUAGAGGAGAAAAGUCGUAACAAAGUAGGCGUAUUGGAAAAAGCGCCUGGAA
rnacentral:ncRNA from 1 species